rnacentral:rRNA from 1 species
AGAUUGAACGCUGGCGGCAGGCCUAACACAUGCAAGUCGAGCGGCAGCACGGGUACUUGUACCUGGUGGCGAGCGGCGGACGGGUGAGUAAUGCCUAGGAAUCUGCCUGGUAGUGGGGGAUAACGCUCGGAAACGGACGCUAAUACCGCAUACGUCCUACGGGAGAAAGCAGGGGACCUUCGGGCCUUGCGCUAUCAGAUGAGCCUAGGUCGGAUUAGCUAGUUGGUGAGGUAAUGGCUCACCAAGGCGACGAUCCGUAACUGGUCUGAGAGGAUGAUCAGUCACACUGGAACUGAGACACGGUCCAGACUCCUACGGGAGGCAGCAGUGGGGAAUAUUGGACAAUGGGCGAAAGCCUGAUCCAGCCAUGCCGCGUGUGUGAAGAAGGUCUUCGGAUUGUAAAGCACUUUAAGUGGAGGAAGGCAUUUACCAAUACGUAAGUGUUUGACGUUACGACAGAAUAAGCACCGGCUAACUCUGUGCCAG